rnacentral:rRNA from 1 species
AUUGAACGCUGGCGGCAUGCUUUACACAUGCAAGUCGAACGGUAACAGGUUAAGCUGACGAGUGGCGAACGGGUGAGUAACGCAUCGGAACGUGUCCGAUCGUGGGGGAUAACGCAGCGACAGCUGCGCCAAUACCGCAUACGAUCUGCGGACGCAAACGGGGGACCGUAAGGCGUCGCGGGACCGGCUCGGCCGAUGUUAGGCUAGUUAGUUGGUGGGGGAAAGGCUCACCAAGCCAACGAUCUGUAGCUGGUCUGAGAGCACGACCAGCCACACGGGGACUGAGACACGGCCCAGACUCCUACGGGAGGCAGCAGUGGGGAAUUUUGGACAAUGGGCGAAAGCCUGAUCCAGCAAUGCCGCGUGCAAGAAGAAGGCCUUCGGGUUGUAAACUGCUUUUGUACGGAGCGAAAAGGUCUCCUCUAAUACAGGGGGCUCAUGACGGUACCGUAAGAAUAAGCACCGGCUAACUACGUGCCAGCAGCCGCAGUAA